AUUGCCUUGUGUUUUAUAUUGAGUAGGAAAGUCAAUUAUUAUUAUUAGUCAACAACCUGAACUUGGGCUGCGGUUAAAAAGCUGAAAAAGCUUCAGGAAAUACACCAUAUAUGAUCAGUGUUGAGUUAACUGUUUAGAACCUCUGUGUAAACUUCUCCAAGAGAUGUUUCAUACCUUUUCUGCUUUAGAUGCAGAGUAUCGGAGGACAAACACUCGCAUCUUCCCCUCAAGAGCUUCCUGCUCUGUAGACACUCCGUCAUGAUGGAACUGGAGGGGACGCAGGACUCUGAACCCCAACAAGACCUUCUUUUAAAUCUGAAAACUGGAAGGCAGAUUCACACUGAGGACACAACGCAGACACAGGGCAGAGGGACAAACGGCAGAAGGACAGACGACGGAGGGCACAAGGACAAGGACAGACGUCUAGAUCCGUCAUGGGUCACCUGUUGAUGCUGCUGCUGUUGCUAUGGAGCUCAGAUAUCCGGACUGAUGGAAACACACCAACAGCUGUGAGGCUGAGGGAAGGUGACCGUCGGUGUUUCGGAAGACUGGAGGUGAAGCAUGAAGGAGAAUGGAGACCAGCUGAUGUUGGUGAAAUGACGCUGAAGUCUGCAGAUGUUUUCUGUAGAGAGCUGGACUGUGGCUCUGCGGUUUCUCUCAGCUGGAGAAGGGAGUCCUCACAGAGAUCUGUGUGGCUCCUCGACAAUCACUGCGUUCAGUCUGGAUCUGAUCUGAGGAAGUGUAUAGAGUCACGUUCC